AUUGAACGCUGGCGGCAGGCCUAACACAUGCAAGUCGAGCGGAUGAAGGGAGCUUGCUCCUGGAUUCAGCGGCGGACGGGUGAGUAAUGCCUAGGAAUCUGCCUGGUAGUGGGGUAUAACGUCCGGAAACGGGCGCUAAUACCGCAUACGUCCUGAGGGAGAAGGUGGGUGAUCUUCGGACCUCACGCUAUCAGAUGAGCCUAGGUCGGAUUAGCUAGUUGGUGGGGUAAAGGCCUACCAAGGCGACGAUCCGUAACUGGUCUGAGAGGAUGAUCAGUCACACUGGAACUGAGACACGGUCCAGACUACUACGGGAGGCAGCAGUGGGGAAUAUUGGACAAUGGGCGAAGGCCUGAUCCAGUCAUGCCGAGUGUGUGAAGAAGGUCUUCGGAUUGUAAAGCACUUUAAGUUGGGAGGAAGGGCAGUAAGUUAAUACCUUGCUGUUUUGACGUUACCAACAGAAUAAGCACCGGCUAACUUCGUG
rnacentral:rRNA from 1 species